GUAUUAAGUUUAACUUCUAAGGAUUUAAAUUUCUAGAAGGAAUUGUUGAUGGAUAAAGUACUAUUAAUAAUUACAGUUCGCGUUUGGUGUCCGAAGUGAAUGAUAAUAUCCAGUGCACAUGAUUGAAAUAUUGUGUAAAUUGUGUUCCAAACAUUCUGCAUGAAAAUGUAACAAAACGAUUUUUGUAGGUGAACAUAGAUACUCCGUAAUGUUUUGUUAAUGAAUUCAUUAAAGCCGCAAAUAUAAAUUAUUGUAAAACGUUUGUCACCUCUAUUAGAAACAAAAUUGUUUCCGAUUUAAAUAUACUUUUGGAAAUAUUUAAUUAUUUGUCGCUGCUCACAAUAAAUAACGAGCUACUACAAGUCUAUACUUUGGAUAUUGUACUCAUACAAUUACUCCUUUGACAUUGCAGCCUUAAUUUUUAAUUGUGAAGAUUCCUUUUAAUACAUUUGUGUAUAUCUGCCUUAAUACAAAAAGUAAGGCAUUGAAAUCUAAAAGGGUACAAAUGACAAAGUGAUUUUAACAGUAUUUAAUGAAACAACUCAAAUUUAUAAAUACCAGAUAUCUUUUUGAUCAACAGUACAGAUAUCAAGUAUGGUCGGAAUAACUUCAAUCAAUUUUAUGUUUAUCAAUUAAAGCUUUAUUACUAAGCAAAUGUAAAGAGAACCAGUAAUUCAAGUUAAAAUGAUGUGACAGGACCAUACCAGGAUUUAAUUAUGCAAUUAUUUCGAAAAGAAUAAACAUCAUUUAAUAUCUAAACCACUUUUGAAAUGUUCUGAUACAAAUUUAAAUGCUUUAAUUCAACAUGUAUUUUUCAUCUAUUUUAAAACAUAAUUCCAUUGUACUACAUAAUUCCGCAAUUACUCGCCAUAUAAGGUAAACGAUAUUUCCUAUA